rnacentral:rRNA from 1 species
CCUAUGGGAGGCAGCAGUGGGGAAUAUUGGACAAUGGGCGCAAGCCUGACCCAGCAACGCCGCGUGAAGGAAGAAGGCUUUCGGGUUGUAAACUUCUUUCAGCAGGGAAGAGCAGAACACUAUACGUCUUGAAUAACCCACGGCUAACUACGUGCCAGCAGCCGCGGUAAUACGUAGGUGGCAAGCGUUGUCCGGAUUUACUGGGUGUAAAGGGCGUGCAGCCGGGAAGACAAGUCAGAAGUGAAAUCCCGCGGCUCAACCGCGGCACUGCAUUUGAAACUGUUUUUCUGGAGUGCAGGAGAGGUAAUCGGAAUUCCUUGUGUAGCGGUGAAAUGCGUAGAUAUAAGGAAGAACACCAGUGGCGAAGGCGGAUGACUGGACGGCAACUGACGGUGAGGCGCGAAAGCGUGGGGAGCAAACAGGAUUAGAUACCCUAGUAGUC